ACGAUUCCGGUGCUACAAUACGCAGGUACUUCUACGAUCACCGUAGUUAAACAACGUCGAGCCUGGUCAGUACCUGGAUGGGUGGCUGCUUGGGAAUACCAGGUGCUGUUA